rnacentral:rRNA from 1 species
GUGGGGAAUCUUGCGCAAUGGGCGAAAGCCUGACGCAGCCAUGCCGCGUGAAUGAUGAAGGUCUUAGGAUUGUAAAAUUCUUUCAGCAGGGACGAUAAUGACGGUACCUGCAGAAGAAGCCCCGGCUAACUUCGUGCCAGCAGCCGCGGUAAUACGAAGGGGGCUAGCGUUGCUCGGAUUUACUGGGCGUAAAGGGCGCGUAGGCGGAUAACCAAGUUGGGGGUGAAAUCCCGGGGCUCAACCUCGGAACUGCCUCCAAAACUGGUGAUCUUGAGUAUGAGAGAGGUGUGUGGAACUCCGAGUGUAGAGGUGAAAUUCGUAGAUAUUCGGAAGAACACCAGUGGCGAAGGCGACACACUGGCUCAUUACUGACGCUGAGGCGCGAAAGCGUGGGGAGCAAACAGGAUUAGAAACCCUAGUAGUCC